rnacentral:rRNA from 1 species
UACGGAGGGUGCAAGCGUUGUCCGGAUUUAUUGGGCGUAAAGAGCUCGUAGGUGGUUCGGUAAGUCAGGUGUGAAACCUCCAGGCUCAACCUGGAGACGCCACUUGAUACUGCUGUGACUGGAGUCCGGUAGGGGAGCGUGGAAUUCCUGGUGUAGGCGGUGAAAAUGGCGCAGAUAUCAGGAGGAACACCAGCGGCGAAGGCGGCGCUCUGGGCCGGUACUG